AACGAACGCUGGCGGGCGUGCCUAACACAUGCAAGUCGAGCGGGGUUGGAAGCGAGGGGUAACGUCGAGUUUCUACCUAGCGGCGGACGGGUGGAGUAACGCGUGGGCGAACCUCGCCUCAAGGACUGGGGAUAACAGCUCGAAAGGGCUGCUAAUACCGGAUAAGCCUAUGGCCUCGCAUGGGGCCAUGAGCAAAGGGGAAACCCGCCUUGAGAUGGGCCCGCGUCCCAUCAGCUAGUUGGUGAGGUAAGGGCUCACCAAGGCGACGAUGCGUAGCUGUGCUGAGAGGCAAAACAGCCACACUGGGACUGAGACACGGCCCAGACUCCUACGGGAGGCAGCAGUAGGGAAUUUUCGGCAAUGGGGGGAACCCUGACCGAGCAAUGCCGCGUGAAUGAAGACGAUCUUCGGAUUGUAAAGUUCUGUUAUUGGGAAAGAAAGAUAUGGCGAGGAAAUGCGUUAUAUUUGACGGUACCUGAUGAGAAAGCCCCGGCUAACUAUGUG
rnacentral:rRNA from 1 species